rnacentral:rRNA from 1 species
GACGAACGCUGGCGGCGUGCUUAACACAUGCAAGUCGAACGGAAAGGCCCUGCUUUUUUGGGGUGCUCGAGUGGCGAACGGGUGAGUAACACGUGAGUAACCUGCCCUUGACUUUGGGAUAACUUCAGGAAACUGGGGCUAAUACCGGAUAGGAGCUCCUGCUGCAUGGUGGGGGUUGGAAAGUUUCGGCGGUUGGGGAUGGACUCGCGGCUUAUCAGCUUGUUGGUGGGGUAGUGGCUUACCAAGGCUUUGCCGGGUAGCCGGCCUGAGAGGGUGACAGGCCACAUUGGGACUGAGAUACGGCCCAGACUCAUACGGGAGGCAGCAGAGGGGAAUAUUGCACAAUGGGCGGAAGCCUGAUGCAGCAACGCCGCGUGCGGGAUGACGGGCUUCGGGUUGUAAACCGCUUUCGCCUGUGACGAAGCGUGAGUGACGGUAAUGGGUAAAGAAGCACCGGCUAACUACGUG